UAAUAUCAAUUCUCUGUAAUUAUCAAAAUUGGUUGGCCACGCAUAGAAAAACAUUUUGAUUUUUUUUAUAAUAAUUUUAAACAGCUAUGUCAUUAAUUGUAAAAUCUAAAGUGGGUUUAUGAAAUAGACCCUUGGUUGCCAUAGAAACGGGGUGCAAAAUUCUCAAUUUCGUUAAUUUUGAAAAACGUGUACUUAUCAAGAAAAACUGUGUCCAGAAAUGAAAAGGGAUAACUUAAUAUGUUUUCAUUAUUUAAAUUUAAUACUACAGAUUAAAGUAAUUAUAUCUGUAGUUUUAAUUUAAUCUCUCAAUAGUAAAUGGCCAUUUUACAUAUUAUAACAUAUCAGAUAUGUGAUUGGUUUAGUGGAGUUUUUGGAGGGUUAAAACAAAAAAGGCACACUGAUUACAAAUUUAGUAAUAAUUAAUUAUGAAAGGCUGAUAUUUGAUUAUAUCAAAAUAUGUAAAAUAUUGGUGGGAGACUCAAAGAUGUAAAAGGAAUUCAAAGGUAAAGAUUACUUUUUUCUACAUUUUGAAGCAUUUUUUGCUUCCUAAUUACUUCCCUUGAACUACUCUCUAACGUUUGGAGGUACAAUGUGUAUUUAGUAAACAGCAGUGUACAUUUUCUGGCGAAAGAUCUCAUCAAAGUUUUACAGUCUGGAAGAAGAAAAGAAGGCUAGACAUCCUAAACAAUGAAGACAGAAGGAUUUACCAUAUAAGAUGAAUAAAGAAAAAGUAAGACCAGUAAACCAAAACAGGACCAAAUAGGCCGUGACUGAAGUUCAAGUGCAUUCUGCAAGAAAGUGGACAACCUAGAUUUUGUUCUUUUCAAGGUUGAGAAGGGAUGCCAUAUUUUAGGUUUGAAACCAGGCAAGUGAAAGCUGAAUUCCAACCUACUUCAACAUACUUGUACCCACUGUCUUCAAGAUAUCAGUGUUUGAGAUGUCAAAGUUUCAAAUAUAACAGGAACAUGUUUAUCAUAUUAUGUGAUGGCAUCCUCAAAUCUUAUGCUGUAUAACAAUAUGUUUUAGAACUUAUCAAGCUUUAUCCUGUACCUUGCCAAAAAAACUCAACUCAGCAUAAUUCUCAUUAACUAAUUAUCAAUGUUACUUGCGUAUGUCAAUGUAGGUCAUUACUGGUACAUGCCUGACCAACAAAAACUCUAAAAUUGAAAAAUCAGAGACAAGAUUUUCAGAGCAGCAGAAACAGUAGAAUUUGUCACGUAAAUCUAAUGAUAUGUACCGUAGUUGAGAAUACAUGUACUCUAAAUGUUGCAUAUAUAAAAAAUAAAAAAAGCGAAAAGUUC